rnacentral:rRNA from 1 species
CGGCUGGCGGCGUGCCUAACACAUGCAAGUCGAACGGAGUGUUGAGAGCUUGCUUUGACACUUAGUGGCGGACGGGUGAGUAAUGCGUGAGCAACCUGCUUUCAGAGGGGGACAACAGUUGGAAACGACUGCUAAUACCGCAUAAUGUAUCGUGAGGGCAUCCUCGUGAUACCAAAGGAGCAAUCCGCUGAAAGAUGGGCUCACGUCUGAUUAGCUAGUUGGUGGGGUAACGGCUCACCAAGGCUGCGAUCAGUAGCCGGACUGAGAGGUUGAACGGCCACAUUGGGGCUGAGAUACGGCCCAGACUCCUACGGGAGGCAGCAGUGGGGAAUAUUGGGCAAUGGGCGAAAGCCUUCGACCCAGCAACGCCGCGUGAAGGAAGAAGGUCUUCGGAUUGUAAACUUCUUUUAUGAGGGACGAAGGACGUGACGGUACCUCAUGAAUAAGCCACGGCUAACUACGUGCCAGCCGCCGC